rnacentral:rRNA from 1 species
GGUUCGAUUCUGGCUCAGAUUGAACGCUGGCGGGAUGCUUUACAUGCAAGUCGAACGGCAGCACGGACUUCGGUCUGGUGGCGAGUGGCGAACGGGUGAGUAAUGUAUCGGAACGUGCCUAGUAGCGGGGGAUAACUACGCGAAAGCGUAGCUAAUACCGCAUACGCCCUUCGGGGGAAAGCGGGGGACCUUCGGGCCUGCGCACUAUUAGAGCGGCCGAUAUCGGAUUAGCUAGUUGGUGGGGUAACGGCUCCGCAAGGCGACGAUCGUAGCUGGUUUGAGAGGACGACCAGCCACACUGGGACUGAGACACAGCCCAGACUCCUACGGGAGGCAGCAGUGGGGAAUUUUGGACAAUGGAAACCCUGAUCCAGCCAUCCCGCGUGUGCGAUGAAGGCCUUCGGGUUGUAAAGCACUUUUGGCAGGAAAGAAACGGCACGGGAUAAUACCCCGUGCAACUGACAGUACCUGCAGAAUAAGCACCGGCUAACUACGUGCCAGCAGCCGCGGUAAUACGUAGGAGUGCAAGCGUUAAUCGGAAUUACUGGGCGUAAAGCGUGCGCAGGCGGUUCCGGAAAGAAGAUGUGAAAUCCCAGAGCUUAACUUUGGAACUGCAUUUUUAACUACCGAGCUAGAGUGUGUCAGAGGAGGUGGAAUUCCGCGUGUGGCAGUGAAAUGCGUAGAUAUGCGGAGGAACACCGAUAGCGAAAAACAGCCUCACAUGGGAUAACACUGACGCUCAUGCACGAAGCGUGGGGAGCAAACAGGAUUAGAUACCCUGGUAGUCCACGCCUAAACGAUGUCAACUAGCUGUUGGGGCCUUCCGGGCCUUGGUAGCGCAGCUAACGCGUGAAGUUGACCGCCUGGGGAGUACGGUCGCAAGAUUAAAACUCAAAGGGAUUGACCAGGACCCGCACAAGCGGUGGAUGAUGUGGAUUAAUUCGAUGCAACGCGAAAAACCUUACCUACCCUUGACAUGUCUGGAAUCCCGAAGAGAUUUGGGAGUGCUCGCAAGAGAACCGGAACACAGGUGCUGCAUAGCUGUCGUCAGCUCGUGUCGUGAGAUGUUGGGUUAAGUCCCGCAGCGAGCGCAACCGCCUCAUCAUUAGUUGCUACGAAGAGAGGCACUCUAAUGAGACUGCCAGUGACAAACCGGAGGAAGGUGGGGAUGACGUCAAGUCCUCACUGGCCCUUAUAGGUAGGGCUUCACACGUCAUACAAUGGUCGGGACAGAGGGGUCGCCAACCCGCGAGGGGGAGCCAAUCCCAGAAACCCGAUCGUAGUCCGGAUCGCAGUCUGCAACUCGACUGCGUGAAGUCGAAUCUUCUAGUAAUCGCGGAUCAGCAUGUCGCAGUGAAUACGUUCCAGGUCUUGUACACACCGCCCGUCACACCAUGGGAGUGGGUUUUACCAGAAGUGUUCCUUCUAACCGUAAGGAGGCGAUUACCACGGUAGGAUUCAUGACUGGGGUGAAGUCGUAACAAGGUAA